GCAAAAUCUUAAUAAGAAGUGAAUGUAGGUGGUGAAGCCCCCUAAUGUCCUGACUCCACAGUUCCUGUCCCAUGACCAGGGCCAGCUCACCAAAGAGCUAUAGCAGCACAUAAAGUCAGUGACAGGCCCAUGCAAGUACCAAAGGAAGCCAAGACUGACCAUGAGGAACACUUGGAGCUCAGGAAGGAAAGAUCAGCCCAGAAGCAGGGACAGGGAGCUGGUUGGGGAGGAUGAGAAGUCAGAAGGUCUGCGAAGUUUCCAGAGAGGACCUGUCUUUGGGAUGGCGCAUCAGGGGUUCAGGUGGGGGAGGGGGUGUUGGAAGAAUGUGGACAUCACAUGGAAUGCCCACUGUGAGGCACUAUGGUACCAGGACCGAGGAUUGGUGGAGAGGAAGUAUAAAGCCCCAGGGUUGCUAAGGUAGCGCCCAGACAGGAGAAGGUUUGGUAGAAACCAGAGCCCUGGUCUCCCUCCAACUGCUCCUGAGCCUCCUGCUCCCCUGCCCCACUCCUCCUGCUGUUUUGCUGAUAGACUUUUUCACUGACCUAUAGCUGAACCUUCCACCAGCACUUGAAGACUUAGUUUUAACUGGAUCCUUUCCCAGGGUUCCUUCUUUUUCUUCCUCCUCCUUCUUCUCCAGCCCCCCACCGCCCUGCUCCUCCAGGCCCCCCACAGUCCCCCUUGCCUUCCCUCCCCUCCCAAUCCCUUUCCCUCCCCUCCCCCUCCCCAACUGCAGUCCCACCCCCAGUCCCCAUCCCCUUUCCUCCCUUAGCCCUAAACCACCCUCACCUCUGUCCUGGCCUCCUCAGGGGGCCCUGAGAAAACCAGGACAUGCGGGUCCAGUGGCUGCUGUUUUGGCUCCUCCUGCUUGGGUUUCCCAGCCAUCAAUCCACCCAUCUGGCACAGGAUUGACUCCUGGUGGAACCCAACUCAGUGAUCUGUGCAGUGUGGUGUUUUCCAAACUGGCCAAGGUGUCUGCAGGGCCCUCAGAAUUUUCCAAGCAAGAAAAGAUUUGGCUACUUGGAGAAACUUCAUCCUUCUGGAGGCAUCACCUCCAGAAUCUACUUGAAGUGGAUGACACUGACUUCCAUGAACUGUUUUCCUGUGAGUAAUUUCUCCAUUUUAGACAGAGUUAUCCAUGGGAAGGUGAGUCUGAUCAAGCUGCUUGACCAUGAUCAGAACAAUUUGCUUCCCCAUUGCAUCAUCAAACUUUAAUUUAAAAAGCCCCACUUUCUGUCCGUCCCCAUAGCUCCUCCCUCACCCACCAAAAUGAGUCACUUGGGGCAGUGGUGGGCAGAUGAUUUCAGAUAUCCUGAUCUCAAUUCCCUGAUGUCAGUACGUCUGCACAUUCUUUGUUUUUUUUUUUUCAACUUUUAAGUUCUGGAGUACACAUACAGGAUAUGCAGGUUUGUUACAUAAGUAAACAUGUGCCAUCGUGGUUUGCUGCAAAGAUCAUAGCAUUACCUAGGUAUUAAGCCCAGCAUCCAUUAGUUAUUCCUCUUGAAGCUCUCCCUCCCCCAGCUCCCUGCUCCAAGAGGCCCCAGUGUGUGUUGCUUCCCUCUAGGUGUCCAUGUGUUCUCAUCAUCAAGCUCCCACUAAUAAGUGAGAACAUGUGGUAUUUUGUUUUCUGUUCCUGCAUUAGUUUGCUGAGGGUGAUGGCUUCCAACUCCAUCCAUGUCCCUGCAGAGGAGAUGAUCUCAUUCCUUUUUAUGGCUGUAUAGUAUUCCAUGGUGUGUAUGUACCACAUUUUCUUUAUCCAGUUUAUCAUUGAUGGGCAUUUAGGUUGAUUCCAUAUCUUCGCUAUUGCGAGUAGUGCUGCAAUAAACAUAUGCAUGCAUAUAUCUUUAUAAUAGAAUGAUAUAUAUUCCUUUGGAUAUAUACCUACUAAUGGGAUUGCUGGGUCAAAUGGUAUUUCUGCCUCUGGAUUUUUGAAAAAUCACAACACUGUCUUUCACAGUGCAAACCACCGUGAAACUAAUUUACACUCCCACCAACAGUGUAAAAGUUUUCAUUUUUCUCCACAAUCUUGCCAGCAUCUGUUGAUUUUUGACUUUUUAAUAAUAGCCAUUCUGACUGGCAUGACAUGGUAUGUCAUGUAUAUCAUUGUCAUUUUGAUUUGCAUUUCUCUAAUAAUACACUUAUUAUUUAGGAGCUUUUUUUCAUAUAUUUUUUGGCCGCAUGUGUAUAUUUUAAGAAGUGUCUGUUCAUGUCCUUCGCCACUUUUUAACAGUGUUAUUUGUGUUUGUCUUUUAAAUUUGUUUAAGUUACAUGUAGCUUCUGGAUAUUAGACCUUUGUCCAAUAGAUAGAUUGCAAAAAUUGUCUCCCCUUCUGUAGGUUGUCUGUUCACUCUGAUGAUGGUUCCGUUUGCUGUGUGGAAGCUCUUAAGUUGGAUUAAAUUCCAGUCGUCAAUUUCUGCUUUUGUUAUAAUUGCUUUUGGAGAUUUCAUCAUGAAAUCUUUGCCCAUACCUAUGUCUUCAACGGUAUUGCCUAGAUUUUCUUCUAGGGUUUUUAUUUUAAAUUUAUACUUUAAGUUCUGGGGUACAUGUGCAGAAUAUACAGGUUUGUUACAUAGGUAUAAAUGUGCCAUGGUGGUUUGCUGCACCUAUCAACCCAUCAUCUAUAUUAGGUAUUUCUCCUAAUGCUCUCCCUCCUCUAGCCCCCGCUGUGUGUGAUAUGCCCCUCCCUGUGUCUAUGUGUUUUCAUUUUUCAACUCCCACUUAUGAGUGAGAACAUGUGGUGUUUGGUUUUCUGUUCCUGUGUUAGUUUGCUGAGAGUGAUGGUUUCCAGCUUCAUCAUGUCCCUGCAAAGGACAUGAACUCAUCCUUUUUUAUGGCUGCAUAGUAUUCCAUGGCAUAUAUGUGCCACAUUUUCUUUAUCCAUUCUAUCAUUGAUGGGCAUUUGGGUUGGUUCCAAGUCUUUGCGAUUGUGAAUGGUGCCACAAUAAAAAUAUAUGUGUGUGUGUGUGUGUGUGUGUGUGUGUGUCUUUAUCGGAGAAUGAUUUAUAAUCCUUUGGGUGUAUACCCAGUAAUGAGAUUACUGGGUCAAAUGGUAUUUCUAUGACCAGUGAUGAUGAGCUUUUUUUCAUAUGUUUGUUGGCUGUAUAAAUGUCCUCUUUUGAGAAGUGUCUGUUCUGAUGGGGUUGUUCGUUGCUUGUAAAUUUGCUUAAGUUCCUUGUAGAUUCUGGAUAUUAGCCCUUUGUCAGAUGGAUAGAUUGAAAAAAUUUUCUCCCAUUCUGUUUGUUGCCUGUUCACUCUGAUGAUAGUUUCUUUUGCUACAUAGAAGCUC
rnacentral:lncRNA from 10 species